rnacentral:rRNA from 1 species
CGGUGAGUGGAUGAAAGCUCCGGCGGCAUAGGAUGGGCCUGCGGCGUAUCAGGUUGUAGGGGGUGUAACGUACCCUCUAGCCCUCUACGCGUACGGGUGUUGGGAGACAUAGCCCGGAGAUGGAUUCUGAGACACGAAUCCAGACCCUACGGGGUGCAGCAGGCGCGAAAACUUGGCAAUGCGAGAAAUCGUGACCAGGGAACUCCAAGUGCAUCGGGUAAGACCGGUGCUUUUCUUGACUCUAAAUAGGUCUUGGAAUAAGGGGUGGGUAAGGACGGUGCCAGCCGCCGCGGUAAUACCGGCGCCUCAAGUGGUAGUCGCUUUUAUUGGGCCUAAAACGUCCGUAGCCGGUCUGAUACAUUCGUGGGUAAAUCAACCAGCUCAACUGGUUGAAUUCUGCGAGGACGGUCAGACUUGGGACCGGGAGAGGUGUGGGGUACGCUCAGGGUAGGGGUAAAAUCCUGUCAUCCUGAGCGGACCACCUGUUGCGAAGGCGCCACACUAGAACGGAUCCGACGGUCAGGGACGAAGCCUAGGGGCACGAACCGGAUUAGAUACCCGGGUAGUCCUAGGUGUAAACGCUGUGGACUUGAUGUUGGGGGUGCUCCGAGCACUCUCAGUGUCGAAGCGAAGGUGAUAAGUCCACUGCCUGGGAAGUACGGUCGCAAGGCUGAAACUUAAAGGAAUUGGCGGGGGAGCACCGCAACCUGAGGAUUGUGCGGUUUAAUUGGACUCAAC